GCCACCGCGAUAAAGAUCGUCGUGCUCGAGGAACAUGGUGGCCGGCAGGACGAUAUCCGCGAGCUGCGCGGUGUCCGUCAUGAAUUGCUCGUGCACGGCGACGAAGACGUC
rnacentral:sRNA from 1 species